GAUGAACGCUUGCGGGAGGCCUAACACAUGCAAGCCGAGCGGUAUUGUUUCUUCGGAAAUGAGAGAGCGGCGUACGGGUGCGGAACACGUGUGCAACCUGCCUUUAUCUGGGGGAUAGCCUUUCGAAAGGAAGAUUAAUACCCCAUAACAUAUUGAUUGGCAUCAAUUAAUAUUGAAAGCUCCGGCGGAUAGAGACGGGCACGCGCAGGAUUAGCUAGUUGGUGAGGUAACGGCUCACCAAGGCGAUGAUCUUUAGGGGGCCUGAGAGGGUGAUCCCCCACACUGGUACUGAGACACGGACCAGACUCCUACGGGAGGCAGCAGUGAGGAAUAUUGGUCAAUGGGUGCAAGCCUGAACCAGCCAUCCCGCGUGAAGGACGACUGCCCUAUGGGUUGUAAACUUCUUUUGUAUAGGGAUAAACCUACCCUCGUGAGGGUAGCUGAAGGUACUAUACGAAUAAGCACCGGCUAACUCCGUGCCAGCAGCCGCGGUAAUACGGAGGGUGCAAGCGUUAUCCGGAUUUAUUGGGUUUAAAGGGUCCGUAGGCGGACUUAUAAGUCAGUGGUGAAAGCCUGUCGCUUAACGAUAGAACUGCCAUUGAUACUGUAAGUCUUGAGUAUAUUUGAGGUAGCUGGAAUAAGUAGUGUAGCGGUGAAAUGCAUAGAUAUUACUUAGAACACCAAUUGCGAAGGCAGGUUACCAAGAUAUAACUGACGCUGAGGGACGAAAGCGUGGGGAGCGAACAGGAUUAGAUACCCUGGUAGUCCACGCCGUAAACGAUGCUAACUCGUUUUUGGGCUUUAGGGUUCAGAGACCAAGCGAAAGUGAUAAGUUAGCCACCUGGGGAGUACGCUCGCAAAAGUGAAACUCAAAGGAAUUGACGGGGGCCCGCACAAGCGGUGGAUUAUGUGGUUUAAUUCGAUGAUACGCGAGGAACCUUACCAAGACUUAAAUGGGAAUUGACAGCUUUAGAAAUAGAGCUUUCUUCGGACAAUUUUCAAGGUGCUGCAUGGUUGUCGUCAGCUCGUGCCGUGAGGUGUUAGGUUAAGUCCUGCAACGAGCGCAACCCCUGUCACUAGUUGCCAUCAUUCAGUUGGGGACUCUAGUGAGACUGCCUACGCAAGUAGAGAGGAAGGUGGGGAUGACGUCAAAUCAUCACGGCCCUUACGUCUUGGGCCACACACGUAAUACAAUGGCCGGUACAGAGGGCAGCUACACAGCGAUGUGAUGCAAAUCUCGAAAGCCGGUCUCAGUUCGGAUUGGAGUCUGCAACUCGACUCUAUGAAGCUGGAAUCGCUAGUAAUCGCGCAUCAGCCAUGGCGCGGUGAAUACGUUCCCGGGCCU
rnacentral:rRNA from 1 species